UACGUAGGGUCCGAGCGUUGUCCGGAAUUACUGGGCGUAAAGAGCUCGUAGGUGGUUUGUCGCGUUGUUCGUGAAAACUCACAGCUUAACUGUGGGCGUGCGGGCGAUACGGGGCAGACUGGAGUACUGCAGGGGAGACUGGAAUUCCUGGUGUAGCGGUGGAAUGCGCAGAUAUCAGGAGGAACACCGGUGGCGAAGGCGGGUCUCUGGGCAGUAACUGACGCUGAGGAGCGAAAGCGUGGGGAGCGAACAGG
rnacentral:rRNA from 1 species